rnacentral:rRNA from 1 species
UGCCAGCCACCGCGGUUAUACGAGAGGCUCAAAUUGAUGAAAAACGGCGUAAAGCGUGGUUAAGAAAAUAAGAGAAAAUACGGCCGAACAACUUCAAAGCAGUUAUACGCAUCCGAAGUCACGAAGAACAAUCACGAAAGUUGCCCUAAAAUCUCCGAUUCCACGAAAGCCAUAGAACAAACUGGGAUUAGAUACCCCACUAUGUAUGGUCGUUAACAUUGAUGGUUUUAUACCCAAACCAUCCGCCUGGGGACUACGAGCAAUAGCUUAAAACCCAAAGGACUUGGCGGUGCUUUAGACCCCCCUAGAGGAGCCUGUUCUAGAACUGAUAACCCCCGUUUAACCUCACCAUCCUUUGUUUUCCCCGCCUAUAUACCACCGUCGUCAGCUUACCCUGUGAAGGAAAAAUAGUAAGCACAAAUGGCAAAGCCAAAAACGUCAGGUCGAGGUGUAGCGAAUGGGAUGGGAAGAAAUGGGCUACAUUCUCUAYUACAGAGAAUACGAAUUGUAAUUUGAAAAAAUUACCUGAAGGAGGAUUUAGCAGUAAGCAGGGACUAGAGUGCCCUGCUGAAAACGGCCCUGAAGCGCGCACACACCGCCCGUCACUCUCUCCAAAUAAACCCUAAAUAUUACCUAAAAUGCUUUUUAUAAUAAGGGGAGGCAAGUCGUAACAUGGUAAGCGUACCG